rnacentral:rRNA from 1 species
AACGAACGCUGGCGGCAGGCCUAACACAUGCAAGUCGAGCGAGGACUUCGGUUCUAGCGGCGGACGGGUGAGUAACGCGUGGGAAUGUGCCCUUCUCUACGGAAUAGCCCUGGGAAACUGGGAGUAAUACCGUAUACGCCCUAUUGGGGAAAGAUUUAUCGGAGAAGGAUCAGCCCGCGUUGGAUUAGGUAGUUGGUGGGGUAAUGGCCUACCAAGCCUACGAUCCAUAGCUGGUUUGAGAGGAUGAUCAGCCACACUGGGACUGAGACACGGCCCAGACUCCUACGGGAGGCAGCAGUGGGGAAUCUUAGACAAUGGGGGCAACCCUGAUCUAGCCAUGCCGCGUGAGUGAUGAAGGCCUUAGGGUUGUAAAGCUCUUUCAGCUGGGAAGAUAAUGACGGUACCAGCAGAAGAAGCACCGGCUAACUCCGUG